rnacentral:rRNA from 1 species
AUUGAACGCUGGCGGCAUGCCUUACACAUGCAAGUCGAACGGCAGCACGGGGGCAACCCUGGUGGCGAGUGGCGAACGGGUGAGUAAUGCAUCGGAACGUGCCCGGUAGUGGGGGAUAACUCGGCGAAAGUCGAGCUAAUACCGCAUACGUACCGAGGUAGAAAGCGGGGGACCUGCAAGGGCCUCGCGCUAUCGGAGCGGCCGAUGUCGGAUUAGCUUGUUGGUGGGGUAAUGGCCUACCAAGGCGACGAUCCGUAACUGGUCUGAGAGGACGACCAGUCACACUGGGACUGAGACACGGCCCAGACUCCUACGGGAGGCAGCAGUGGGGAAUUUUGGACAAUGGGCGAAAGCCUGAUCCAGCAAUGCCGCGUGUGUGAAGAAGGCCU